GGGUCUCACAUUUCAUCACAGCUACAGUUGCAAUGUCGAUACAACAACCUCCAUAUGUUGUUUGCCCUGAAAAUGUUGAAAGAUGGGCUUGAAUGUGGAUCGUGGAGAAACGCAUCAUCUGGUUAACGUUUCGUCGUCAUGCGCACCGCGGCAACCCCUCCAUCGUCCUCCCCGACCGUAAUUCUACAGAACACUCCUCCCCCCGCGUGCCCCCUGCAAACCGCUGAGCGCAAGCCAAGGACACCAACAACAUAUCCAGGGCAACGAGGAAACAAUUACGAAUAAAGGUUAUCCAUUGUAACUACUCUCAGGGGAUGGUUGUUUCCGGCUUUGCAAACGGAUACCCAUUGAUACAAAGUAUCACAUUUACACUAUGGCCGUCUACCUUUCUCUGCCAUGAGUGUGAAAUAUGUAUCAGUUUCCUGCAUAAUGCAUGUCACUGGUGCAACGCCAAUUUGUUUUCCAUUCAAUGACUAUUCGCUCCGUGGAAUAUGCGUUUUGUUAACGUCGAGUUAGAGCUGAUGCUAAGGCUAAUUAGGCUACAUGUGGCUAUAGGCUAUGUUUAGGCUACCUUGCUGAGUCCACUCGUCUCUGUAGCGCCCCCCUACAUUCUACAGCUCUAAAACUUUCCUGUCUCAAAUAUUUCCUCCCUCUUUUUUUUUUACUUCCUGUUUUCUACGGGAGUCACAUAGCCCAAGCUCCUUUCAUUUCAACUGUAUGUUCACCCUUUUAUUUUUAUUUAUUCGCGCUACAUUGUUUCUCACACGUCUGUCUAACCGGCUCCCAGAUUCUUCUCUCUUUGCGUAAGUCGAGGACUUGGAAAUGCACAACUCGUUCAACUUCAGUCCCGAUGGAUUUGACAUGUUAUUUUUGAUGUCCUUUUUCUAAAACACUUUUUCUCUGCUGUUUUUUGUUGGUAAUGUCACUCUGGAAGUAGUUGCCCAACCAAAGCCCCUUUUCUACAAAGUAACAUGUCGGCAGCUAGCUCAUUAGCUAUGUGGCAGCUACUCUGGAGCUGACAUAUCCAGCUAAUUUGCACAUUUUAUACGCUUCAACUACGGUUGUUGUUCCUUUUUGCGCGUUCAUUUAUUCCCCCCGGGAAGUUAUAAUGGCCCAAUUCCAGCGUCCGACACUGUGUUGCUGCCGCAAAGUGCUCACAGUGCCUAGCAAGUCGUGUGAGGGCGGCCAAGGUCUGGGUCAGUGUCGCCUCGUCGACAUCGCCUCUGCGUCCAACUUCCACUGCUUCAAGCUUCGCCACUUCCAUCUCGACCUCCGCCUCAACUUUGCCGUAAAGGAGAUCACUGGGUGGCAAGUCCUGGAACUUGUGGCUAUCCAACCAGGAGUGCAGACUUUGGUUCUGGACACUCACCCAUCCUUGCUAAUUCAGUCCAUAGACUGCAAGGUGCCUGGCACCACCGGUGCCCAGGACAUUUCCCCGUCGCUCAUCUACCGGGUAGACCCAUUUACAGACUAUGGAUCUUCGCUGAAUAUCAGCCUUCCAGCCUACGUGAUACGGCCGCAUCGGGCUUUCCAGAUCACCGUUCGCUACACAACAACAGACGGUCCUGCGAUCUGGUGGCUGGACGCAGAGCUGACGUGUGGUCAGACUCGCCCGCUAGUCUUCACUCAGGGCCACUCUGUCUGCAACCGAUCCUUCUUUCCCUGCUUCGACACACCCGCCGUCAAGAGCACCUACACCGCUACUGUCAGGGUGCCGGAAGGUGUGACGGUGUUGAUGAGUGCCUCCCGUAGUGCCUACUCCAAGCAGGACAGGGUGUUCCAGUUCUCUAUGGAGUACCCCGUCCCAGCCUACCUGGUGGCACUGGUGGCAGGAGACCUGCAGCAUGUCGACAUCGGCCCCAGGAGCCGGGUGUGGGCAGAGCCGUGUGUACUGACCUGUGCUGUGAGCAAGCUAGGGGGUAGCGUGGAGCGUUGGCUGAAUGUGGCCGAGGACCUCUUCGGACCCUAUGUGUGGGGAAGGUACGACAUAGUGUUCCUGCCUCCGUCGUUCCCCAUCGUGGCCAUGGAGAACCCCUGCCUCACCUUCAUCAUCUCCUCCAUCCUGGAGAGCCGGGAGUUCCUGCUGAUCGACGUCAUCCACGAGAUUGCCCAUGGCUGGUUCGGCAACGCGGUCACCAACGCAACCUGGGAAGAGAUGUGGCUGAGCGAGGGACUGGCCACCUACGCACAGAGACGCAUCACUACCGAGGCCUACGGUGAGGCCUUCACCUGUCUGGAGACGGUGUUCCGUCUAGACGCCCUGCAUAGACAGAUGCGUCUCCUAGGAGACAACAACCCUGUCAGCAAGCUGCAGGUCAAAUUUGAGCCAGGUAUUAAUCCCAGUAGUCUGAUGAACUUGUUCACUUAUGAGAAAGGCUUUUGCUUCGUCUCGUACCUCUCUCAACUCUGUGGCAAUGUCAAGCGCUUCGACAGCUUCCUGAGGGCCUACAUAGAGCAGUUUAAGUUCAGCAGUGUUGUGGCCCAGGACCUGCUCGAUUUCUUCUUGUGCUUCUUCCCGGAGCUGAAGGAGAGCUGUGUGGCACAGAGAGAGGGGUUGGAGUUUGAGCGGUGGCUGAACGCUUGUGGCCCCCCUCUGUGCGAACCGGACCUCUCGGCCGGGGGGGUUCUGACCGGUCCCGUCCAGCGUCUGUGUGACCUGUGGGCCAGCGAACCCCCGGACCCUGAGGCCAUUGCAAACUUUAACCUCUCCUCUUGGAGCACCUUCCAGACCGUUCUCUUCCUGGACAGACUGUUGGACCGCUCGCCCCUCUCACACGAGGUUAUGGGUCAGUUGUCACGCUGCUACUCGGCCCAGCUGGAUGAGAUGAACGCUGAGGUGCGGAUCCGCUGGCUGCAGAUCGUGGUGCGGAACAGCUUCUACCCGGACCUGCCCCGCAUCCGCGGCUUCCUGCACAAACAUUUUCUGUAGAGAGAAAUCUGAACAAAUUCCAAACUGAGCGAUGCUGCUGGCAGCGGAAUCCAAUACAGCAGGGGGUUCUUACCACAAUGCAACUCAAACACAAACGCUAUGGAUAUCCCAAUGGCCCAUCUCUGAUUGUCUGCGAAUGGAUUACAAACCCAAAUGCAAAUGUGGAAAACGCGGGGGAAUCAGACAAAGACUUAAAAAAAUUUAAGAACAUACUUCCCUUACCCACCACCUUGCUGAUUAAUGCCCAGUCACUGAGGGGGAAAGCGGAUGAGCUGUCAGCGAAUUUGCACUUCCAACACGAAUAUCGGGAGGCCUGUUUGCUGGCGUUUACUGAGACUUGGCUGGAUGACAGAGUCCCGUACAGAGAAGAGGAGUUCACUCUGGUCAGAGCGACCGUGAUCUGACACUCACAGGGAAACUUCAUGACGGGGGCGUCUGCCUGCUUGUCAGGGACCAGUGGUGUAAAUGGAUCCUGACGUCGAGGAUGUACACAGUCCCGCUGUACGAGGACCUUUGUUCCGGGGUGAUGAAGUGCUUUGCAGCUGAGGUGUUCUACCAGACACAGGCCCGCCUCCACCCCAACCUCCGACGGACACUCCAGCAGAUCCUGUUC